GUGUUUUUGUAGCAUUUAAUUGUGCUUGUUCUGGUUGAAAAUAUUGAACUUCGUUGUGCAAAGGGGACUGAAAACUGUUGGAUUACCUAUUCACCCUCCCUCUCCCAAAACCCGAAAAGCUGGAUAUCCUGUGGGCUUUGGUGAAAAAGUACAGUGCUAUACUCCACAAUGUAAAAACGGAUUCGAAAAGUAAUGUCGUGAAAAACCAAGCUUGGGAGAAAAUUACAACCGAAUUUAACUCAAAUUGCAACAUUACAAAGCGCACUCGUCAACAACUCCAAUAGAAAUACAAUAACGAAAAAAGUAAGCGAAAAGAGAAACUAGCCGCUGAAAAACGACUCCUGAUGGGUACUGGAGGCGGACCGCAUACCCAAACCCUCCCUCUAGAACCAGAACUAGACGAUGCCGCCAACAUCUCCAUAGUCACUGAAAUAAAUUCACUAAUACCAGAUUCGGACACCCUGCAGUUGGCCAGACAUGAUGCGGCACCUGAUUUUCUUGUUUGAAAUAAUAGAUUGGUGUUAUUUAACAACCAAGAGGAAAAUGAUGAUGAUUACUUGAUUAUAAUAAUGAAACGAUCGUGGAUGAACCAGCAGCCACGCCCACAGUCACUCUUCCUAGUACCAAUCCGAUUAAUACAUCAGCUGCAUCUGUUGCACAGUCUACCAGACCUAGAGUUCCUACUGCAGCUCCAUCAACGUCAACUGAUUACACACCUGUAAAAAAAACUUCUAAAAAACGUUCUCAAACAGCAGUGAAUGUCUUUAGUGGAAGAAAUUAUUGAACGACGUGCCAUCAACAAAGAGCUGAUGAGUUAUAAAAUAAAGAAGGCCAAAUUGGAACUUGAGUUGAUGGAGUUGCAGUUGAGGAAGGCUGCUGAAAACUAAAGAGGAGAAAUAAUUCUCUUGUUAGUUGUUUUACUUGUUUUCAUUUACGCAAAUGCUACUUUGAUUUAGGUAUUCAAAGAGUUUAAUUCUUUUUAAUUUAUUGAUGUAAGAUUCAUUUAGAAUUGACAAGUGUGGUAGUGUGUAUUUAUAAUUUUAUUGUAUCUAUUCUAUUACUUAGGGAUCAAAUUUGUUUUCUAUGUAUGUAAUUGAUAUAAGAUUGAUUGAGAAGUUUCGUUUUUUUAAAAAUUGGGUGCUAGUUAUGUAUGAUUUCAAUUUCAUUGAUCUCUUUGUUUUUAUUUAGGUAUACGUUUACUAGUUUUACUGUAAACAGUUCAGUUUGCGGAUUUUUAUUGAGAAGUGAAAUUUUAUUAUUUCUAAUUUUAUUCAUUUUAUUGUUGAUCUCUUUGUUUUUAUUUAGGUAUACUUAAGGUGCACCGGGGGAAGUUGGAAUUCGGGGUAAGUUAGAAAACUUGCUCUAGCGCCUAGAGGUUUAUAUCUGGCGAAGUGCUACUAAAGGUGACUUGAGGGUACUACCCCUACUUCAUCUUGGCAUAAAAAUUUUCGCGAUUCAGUUUCAUUUGAGAUGUCUUUGGUUCAAUUGUAUUUUGUUGUUGUUUUGCACUUGUUUUGAAUUUGUACUAAAAUACAGACUUUCCAUUUCUUAAUUUUUCGCAUAUAGCGGACGAACCGUGCGUCCUAGUGAAAAUCUGAUGAGAGUGAUCUCAAAGAGAAUUAAAUUCUCUACAAUUUUGUUGAUAUGCAAUUUUUCUAGGACGCUCCGUUUGUGAUCUACAUCUCUGCAAAGUUUAGCCUGUUCUGACUUCCCCUAAUUGGGGGAAGUCAGAACAGUUUAUAUUUUAUUCCACUGAGCGAAAGCUACUGUGUCAAUCGCGCUCAAAUUUUCACCAUAGGUUAAGAACCCUUAUGGGAACCUACAUAAUAAAUUUGAUCCAUAUUGGUUCAUUAGAAGGGGAGUAACAGCAGGUCAAAGUUGAAAUUGCGAAAAAUCAUUCUGACUUGCUCCGGUGCACCUUACGUAAACAGUUUCGGUUUGCGGACUUUUAUUGAGAAGUGAGAUUUUAUUAUUUCUAAUUUUGUUCAUUUUAUUGUUGAUCUCUUUGUUUUUAUUUAGGUAUACUUACCUUAAACAGUUUAGUUUGUUGUUUUAAGAUUUAUUGAAAAGUUAAUUUCAUUGUUUCACAUUAUUGUGUUGUUUACGGAUCGAAUUCGUGUUUUACAUAUCAAUAUAGUUAUAUUAUUGGUAAAGUAGGUGCUGGUUAUGUGUGAUCUCAUCGAUCUCCUUUUCAUUUUGGUAUAGGUACUCUAAAGAGUUCAAAUUUGUAAAUUUAGGAAUAAAGAUUUAUUGAGAAAAA